rnacentral:rRNA from 1 species
GACGAACCGUACGAACGUUACUCGGAUUUACUGGGCUUAAAGGGUGCGUAGGCGGCCCAGAAAGUUGGGUGUGAAAUACCUCGGCUUAACCGAGGAAUUGCGCUCAAAACUACUGGGCUUGAGGAAGAUAGAGGUGAGCGGAACUUAGGGUGGAGCGGUGAAAUGCGUUGAUAUCCUAAGGAACACCGGUAGCGAAAGCGGCUCACUGGGUCUUUUCUGACGCUGAGGCACGAAAGCUAGGGUAG